rnacentral:rRNA from 1 species
GACGAACGCUGGCGGCAUGCCUAAUACAUGCAAGUUGAACGAUGAUAUUCUCUGCUUGCAGAGACUUGAAGAGUAGCGAACGGGUGAGUAACACGUGGGGAACCUGCCCAUGAGAGGGGGAUAACAUUCGGAAACGGAUGCUAAUACCGCAUAAUGCUUUGGACCGCCUGGUCCAGAGACGAAAGACGGCUUUUGCUGUCACUCAUGGAUGGCCCCGCGCCGUAUUAGCUAGUUGGUGAGGUAAUGGCUCACCAAAGCUGUGAUACGUAGCCGACCUGAGAGGGUGAUCGGCCACACUGGGACUGAGACACGGCCCAGACUCCUACGGGAGGCAGCAGUAGGGAAUCUUCCGCGAUGGGCGAAAGCCUGAUGGAGCAAUGCCGCGUGAAUGAAGAAGGUCUUCGGAUCGUAAAGUUCUGUUAUUAGAGAAGAACAAGUCAAGGAGUAACUGUCUUGACUUUGACGGUACCUAACCAGAAAGUCACGGCUAACUACGUG